rnacentral:rRNA from 1 species
GAUGAACGCUGGCGGCGUGCCUAAUACAUGCAAGUAGAACGCUGAAGCUUGGUGCUUGCACCGAGCGGAUGAGUUGCGAACGGGUGAGUAACGCGUAGGUAACCUGCCUGGUAGCGGGGGAUAACUAUUGGAAACGAUAGCUAAUACCGCAUAACAGUCGACAUUGCAUGAUGUUGAUUUGAAAGGGGCAAAUGCUCCACUACCAGAUGGACCUGCGUUGUAUUAGCUAGUUGGUGAGGUAACGGCUCACCAAGGCGACGAUACAUAGCCGACCUGAGAGGGUGAUCGGCCACACUGGGACUGAGACACGGCCCAGACUCCUACGGGAGGCAGCAGUAGGGAAUCUUCGGCAAUGGACGGAAGUCUGACCGAGCAACGCCGCGUGAGUGAAGAAGGUGUUCGGAUCGUAAAGCUCUGUUGUAAGAGAAGAACGAGUGUGAGAGUGGAAAGUUCACACUGUGACGGUAACUUACCAGAAAGGGACGGCUAACUACGUGCCAGCAGCCGCGGUAAUA